rnacentral:lncRNA from 1 species
UGGCAAAGGCCCUGGCAGGAAGUUUACAGGGUUUAACGUAAACAAGUUCUGGGGGAUUCUUUAAUAAUAAUAAUAGAGAAUUCCGCGUGCGCAGGGCGGGAGGGGGGAGUUGGCCUAAUGCCCCUGUGGGCUCGGCCUGCCGCCGCCGCGGGGCCUCUGACACUGCGCGCCAGGCCAGGUUCCUGAGAGCAGACAGCGCGGGCUGGGAGCGCCGGCAAGGGCGGCCCUCGCGCACCUGGCUGCCAGCCCGCAGGGGGCUCGCACGCAGACCUGCCCUUGCCACCUCAGCGCUCGGGUGCGGGCUGGGGGCGGUGGAGCCACGAAAGGUGGUGCCGAGAGCGGAGCGCAGGACAGCGCAGGAGCCCCGGCGCAUCGCGGCGCGCACAGACCCAGGAAACAGAGAAGCAAAGAAGUUAGCAAGCUUGUUUUGGCAGAAGAAAAAACACAAAAUACCCAACCACAGAUCCUCAAAAAUAUUGCUAAGCACUAAUUUUGCUAACAUGUUAGACAGCCUUCGGAUCUAGGCAAUCUUGUUCCUCAGCUGGAAAGAGUUCCUGCCAGCCAUGUGAUUCCAAAUCCACCCUGGACAUAUGGGGAUAAUGAGAAAAUCAGCUCCGGCCUUCCCUGGCCUUCCAGCCAAGUGAAUGGGGGCAUCCCCUGGUGCUUCAGCCCGGGGCCCACCCAGAGGAUGCUAGCUGGCCUGCAGAGGCCUCAACCAUGCCCUCCUGGACUCAGGUAAGACUGAGGUUUCCAUGCCCUCAAAACAAUUGUUCAGACAAAAACUCACUGCCCAGGUCAAAGUCACAGCACCAGAAAGCCAACCUGAGGAUGAAGACAAAGCUCUUUGUUGGCACAGUCCCCUGAUCAUUCGAGGUCAGCAUCUCCAUCAAAAUGGACCCAAUGCUGAGGCAAGAAGGAGAACAUCACUGUUAAGAAGGUAAUGAGUCACAAAUGCUAUUUCGAUGGUUUUCUUUGAAAGAAAUACACAGAACCAAACCAAUUUUAAUUAAAGAUCUUGUCUUUGUAAUCAGGCAGCCACAAAUGAAGGCAAAACUGCUUUCAUGUGGCAUAAUAUACACAGAGCUGAACUAGUUUUCCCAUAAAAGGGCAGGUUCUUUUCUUCAAAUAAGAAAAGAGUUUGUUCCUAACAAUAUGGGGGAUGCAACAGAAAGCUGUCUUUUGCAAAGUAUAAAAUUGCAGAUCCUCCCGUGGAAGCCAUUUCUUGAUGCUAAACCAAUGCGAACGUUUGCCAAACGCACAUGCGAGCCGGGAUUAUCCUACCCUUUGAGAUUAGACAUGUGAUCCUGAUUUUUAAGUGAAAAACGCAGCCAGAGGCCAAAUAAACAUACCUACAAGUACAUCGAAAGCUCAAAUGGUUGAGAAAUGAUUGUAACACACCCCGGUGUGUAUUUCUGAGGAAGAAUCAACAUGCACAUGGAAAUUGAUGUUUUGAUUUUUAAUUUUAAAACGACGACAGAACUGAAAUACCUCCCCUAACUAGGUCCACUGAAACCAGUGAGGAGAUAAUCAUUUUCAGUUAAAUAUGCAUGUAAUUUAAUAAUCCACAGAUGGAAAAUGCAUUUGAGGUGGACUGAACACAGCCAGGAGUUUUUGCUUAUCGACAGCACUGAAUCCUGCCUUGACUAGAGAGACUCGUCAUGUGAUCAACUGUGGCCAGAGGGCAUCCUGCAGACAGCUCCUGUCACACCACACUGACCAGACUCUUAUGAGUAUUUAAGCAUCUUCAGGGAAGCGAUUGACUGUCUUAUAAUGGUCUUACAAGUACGGAACUUUAUUACCUGCUAAUAAUCAGAGCACAUGAUGGCACAAUAGAAUAUACGAGUGAAGUUCUAAAUGCAAGGUUGUUCUUAUUCUGUGAGUGGCAAAACUCAUGCAGUGAGCAGAUAAAGCUGGCAGGAGGCAUUGGCGCCCUAAUGCUGGGCACUAACCACCUGCCCGGACUGCGAAUAUCUGUUGGGUCCUUUCUAUAUCUGGUCUAUUCUCGUGUUUGAUUAUAUCCUGGUGGCAAGAAUAGCAAAAUCAACUCUCCUUCCUAUCCCAUGUGGAGAGGCAUGAUUUGAGUCAGAGAGCAUUAUCCUCUCUGCGUUAUCCAACCCCAUGUCCCAUGAUGCACUUUGUAGACAAGCAAGUGUCCCUGGUGGAGAAUCCACAGCCACACAUCCUCAUUGGUUGCAAGGAUCAGUGUCCAAUAUCUACUGCCAUGAUCAUUCUCAGUUUUACAUCCACAGAGCUUCAUAGAAUUCUAACACCACAGGUCCAAGUAGAGGUUUUGGCCUCAGAGUGGGCUAGAUUCCACCUCUGACAGCAGCUGUGGGACUGUUUUUCCAUCUGUAAAAUGGAGACAAGAGUAUCACCUACCUCAUGGUGUUGGUGGGAUCGUUAAACAGAAUUCCGAUCAUGAAACCCUUAGCCUGCUCCCUGCAUAGGCUGCAUGCGCUCAGUGAGCUAUGGCUCUGUUUCAUGCUGACUUUACCAUCAUGUAAGCAGUUUUAAAAAUGCUAGAAGCUUUAGUCAUAGAAUUACCAUAUGAUACAGCCUACUGCAGAGUCCAGAGGCUGAGGCAGGAGAGUUACUUGAACCUGGGAGGCGGAGGUUGCAGUGAGCCAAGAUCGCGCCACUGCACUCCAGCCUGGGCAACAGAGUGAGAUUCUGUCUCAACACAAAAAAGAAGACAUGUGUCCCCAUCACAGUAUCAUACAGAGUGCUUCCACUGCCCUAAAAUACCCUGUGCUCUUCCUAUUCAUCCCUCUCUUCAACCCCAGCAACCACUGAUCCUUUUACCAUCUCCAUGGUUUUGCCUUUCCCAGAAUGUCAUAUUGUUGGAAUCAUACGCUAUGUAGCCUUUGCAAAUGGGCUUCUUUCACCGAGCAAUGUGCAUUGAAGGUGCCUCUAUGACUUUUCAAGGGUUGAUAGCUCAUUCCUUUUUAUUGCUAAAUAAUAUUCCAUUGUCUGAAUGUACCACAUUUUGUUUAUCCAUUCACCUACUAAAGGACAUCUUGGUUGCUUCCAAGUUUGGGCAAUUAUAAAUAAAACUGCUAUAAACAUUGUGUGCAGGUUUUUUUUUCUAGAUGUCAGUUUUUAACUCAUUUGGACUAUAGAGCACUAUUGCUGGAUCAUAUGAUACGUGUGUGUUUAGUUUUAUGAGAAACUGCCAAACUGUCUUCCAAAGUGGCUGCACCAUUUUGCAUUCCCACCGUCAAUGAAUGAGAGCUCCGGUUGUUCCACAUCCUCACCAGCAUUUGGUGUUGUCAUUGUUUUGGAUUUUAGCCAUUUCAUAGGUGUGUAGAGGUAGCUCAUUGUUUUAAUCUAAUAAACAUCUUAUUGAAGAAUAACACACAAGCAGAAAAUUUCAGAGAUACAAACGAACAGCUUUUUCAACCAUCACCCACUGGAUACAGUUCUGUAUCCAGCACCCAGGCCAAGAAACUGACACUAACGGUGCCCUGUGCCC